AAGACUAUAGUUCAGUGGUAGAGUGCCUGCUUAGCAGGCAUGAGGCCCUGGGUUCAAUGCCCAGUACUUCCA
rnacentral:tRNA from 1 species